AGCGAACGCUGGCGGCAGGCCUAACACAUGCAAGUCGAACGAACCUUUCGGGGUUAGUGGCGGACGGGUGAGUAACACGUGGGAACGUGCCUUUAGGUUCGGAAUAACUCAGGGAAACUUGUGCUAAUACCGAAUGUGCCCUUCGGGGGAAAGAUUAAUCGCCUUUAGAGCGGCCCGCGUCUGAUUAGCUAGUUGGUUGAGGUAAUGGCUCACCAAGGCGACGAUCAGUAGCUGGUCUGAGAGGAUGAUCAGCCACAUUGGGACUGAGACACGGCCCAAACUCCUACGGGAGGCAGCAGUGGGGAAUCUUGCGCAAUGGGCGAAAGCCUGACGCAGCCAUGCCGCGUGAAUGAUGAAGGUCUUAGGGUUGUAAAAUUCUUUCACCGGGGACGAUAAUGACGGUACCCGGAGAAGAAGCCCCGGCUAACUUCGUG
rnacentral:rRNA from 1 species